rnacentral:rRNA from 1 species
GACGAACGCUGGCGGCGUGCUUAACACAUGCAAGUCGAGCGGUAAGGCCCUUUCGGGGGUACGACGAGCGGCGAACGGGUGAGUAACACGUGGGUGACCUGCCCUCAGCUCUGGGAUAAGCCUGGGAAACCGGGUCUAAUACUGGAUAUGACUCCAUGACGCAUGUUGUGGGGUGGAAAGCCUUGUGCGGCUGAGGAUGGGCCCGCGGCCUAUCAGCUUGUUGGUGGGGUGGUGGCCUACCAAGGCGACGACGGGUAGCCGGCCUGAGAGGGCGACCGGCCACACUGGGACUGAGACACGGCCCAGACUCCUACGGGAGGCAGCAGUGGGGAAUCUUGCGCAAUGGGCGAAAGCCUGACGCAGCGACGCCGCGUGAGGGAUGACGGCCU